ensembl:lncRNA
AAUGUUACCCGUCACAAGUCAUAUCUGAAAAACACAAUGCCACAUCCUCAGAGGGACACAGCUACACCCUUGUGGUCCUCGGGUGAGCUUGGAGCCAUCGGGAUCUUCUCAGGGACGUGGCUGCUGGCAGACACGGGGACAGGAUUCAGGCAGAGAUGCUUCCUUCUUGGGGUCUCCAGCCCUCUCCUGAUUAGAUCUGUUUCCUGGGAGAAGGUGGGACAGAGUGGAUGUCACGUGAAGAUACAGCAAAUGGGAACUGGACUUCUGGCCGGGUCACCACAAGUUGAUGUAGAGGACAUGGUGCCCAAGUUUUCUUCCAGCUCUGCGCCUGGUGUGUCCUAAGCACUCAAAGAAACUGCGUUAUCGAGCAUAUUGAGCUAAAUCUCCAGGCGCUCCAAGGACAGGUGCGGGCUGUUUCCUGAAGAGGCGGAGCAAUCCCGCCCAGCACUCCUGGAAAUGGGCUCCCUGCCACCAAAGAGGGCAGGACCUUCCACCUACUCCUCCGAUCACGAGACCUCCCUCCUACAAGGACGCUUUUGUUGAGUUGGGCCAGGGUGCUGAGAAAGGAACCGAAUUACAGAGAGUCCCAAACAUGUGGGGCUGAAAGAACAGUCUGCGGCUAAUUUAAUAAGCACUGGGUUCAUUUGUGCAACAAUCCUGCCUGUGGAAAAUGAGUUUCAAGGAUCCUGAGGUCUCACCAAGGGUUCCCACCAGCGUCGUGUGGUGGCUGAACCAUCUGCAGUCUUACAGAUGAGCAGCUCAGACACGGAGAGGCCAGGCAGCCUUCAAAAGGUCACACAGAGGUGACUCACAUGUGAGGAAACUCCAUCAUCAAAAUGUGGAAGUGGCAGGUGGAGGUGGUCAAUGUCGCAUACAAAGGAAAUGGAGUCAGACACCCAUGGAAUCACUCCAGGCUGACCCCACGCUAAUUACUGGGGUUCACAGUCCUAGGAAUUGCAAAGGAGGGAAACAGACAUCUGCACAGAGCCUUGGUGCCUGGAUUCACCCAAGAAUCUCCACAUCCACGUAAGCAUCAGGGAAAAUACAUUGGAAUGUACAUCCUGCCAAGCAUCCAUUCAUCCCACGGUCACUGGAAACUUGGUGUUGCAGUGAGGAAGUGUGUCAAGGCUGGCUUCCCCGGAGACCUGCUUCCUGGUGGCAUCAAAAGAUGCAGAAGUUUUUGUCAGCUCACUCAACGAGAGUCUAUCUGUUCAUGCUGGCCUGGUUCAUUCAUACUCAACUUCCAAGACAUUGUUGCCUAAAGACCAAAACGACAAAUCAUCCAUUUUCAUUGAGAAAGAGAUCUCGAGAGGAGGUACUUAAAAGCUUCCAUUGGCAAUUUUUUUUUUUAAUACGGAAACAUAUCUGAGAAGCCAAAUCAAUAUCAGAACGCUGCCCUGUGGAUAGACAGAGCUGAGUAAAGUGAGACGUUGUUCAUGUCAUGACCGCUUGAUACACCCGAUUACACUAGAUGGAGUGUAGACCAGAAGGAAGGGGGUCCUCUCUCAGCAACACUGGAAGUCAGUCCAACAAAUGCCCAUGGUUCUGCACCUCUUUCUCAGUAUUCCUGGCCAGUCAUGAAAACUCCUGCAAUGGCAUUAUUUCCUCAUAAUGGAUAUGUUUCAGUGUUCCAAGAUUACCACUCACUUUUCACUUUGAAUUCUAAAUAAAGGCUUUCCUUUUGGGGAGGGACUCUGUAAGUACUUGGCUUAGUAUUUUUAAAAUGUUCUAGCUUGCUGUGGUGCGGUGUCACGUGUCUGUGGGUUAGCUGUGCCGUGUCCUUGUCUUGGAGUGCCCUCCCCGCCCUGCUGUACCCACACCCCCAACACCUCUGUCUGCUAAACUCUCAGUCAUCCUUUUCAUUCCAGGGACAAGUGUCAUCCCCUUCAGAAGCUCCCACACCCAGAGCAGGCUUAGAAGGUCUUUGCUCUGUGUUCCUAUGUUGGAGAAGGAAAUGGCAACCCACUCCAGUAUUCUUGCCUGGAGAAUCCCAUGGACAGAGGAGCCUGGCAGGCUACAGUCCAUGGGGUUUCAAGAGUUGGACAUGACUUAGCGACUAAACCACCACCUAUGUUGUUUGUUUAUCCUUUAUUCUAGCCUUUGUCAUAGGCUGCAAAGGCAGGCUUGUCUAGCCGUCUUCCCCACUAGAUUGCAAACUCUCAGGAAACAGGAACUUGGUCCAUCUCAUGGACCCGGACACAGUGCCUGGUACAGGGCAGGUAUUAGAUAGGUGCUGAUACUUGAUAAAAUCAGUGAGUGGCAUUAACAUUAGCCUACAGCUCUCCUAAUGAUGUCUCAAAAGCAUGCAAACCCCAUUUUAUUCUUCAGAUGACUUUUGACGCCUCUCGUUUAUAAAAGGCAAUGUUCAUAAAAACCUUAGGGUUGGCUUUCAAGGUGAUGAGAUGCGAACCUAGUCAGGUGAGCGAGCGUCACUAUCCUUGGGGGCACAUGGCUGCCAGAAAGAGGCGCUCUCUCCAUGCAUCUCUUCACUACCAAGCUGGUCAAGGAUGGAAACUGCAGGCUUCCCCUCAGUGUGUCCCAAAGCCCAUGGUCCUCCCUGUGGAGAAGCCCGACUGUCCCAAGCUGUGUCCUGAGGGGUUGGACAGCGAGAACCAACUUCCCUUUCCCUUCUGGUGGUUUCUCUUGGUGCAGACCAAAAUGAAAAGUUAUCUGAAAAUUCUGGAAUCAGACACACGUUUGUGGGUAAGAAAGUGAGAAGAAAAAGAUGAACUAUCUUUGUGGAGACAUGGAGAAUGUACUUUGCUGCUGGGUGGGUUUGGUGACCCUGACUCUCUUAGGAAUAAAGGAAAGCUCUCAGGAGCCUUUUGUGUUCUUGAUUAUAUUGUUCUAUUAGCUAAAUCUCCAGUGGUUCCCCCCCACUCCCCCUGGAGAAGGAAAUGUCAACCCACUCCAGUAUUCUUGCCUGGAAAAUUCCAUGGACAGAGGAGCCUGGUGGGCUACAGUCCAUGGGGUCGCAGAGUCAGCC